GGAGUAAGUGUUUAAUAUCCUUUCUCGGUUUUCUUUGCUCGCCUUUCUCAGCUUGGGGCCACUGUUCCAGGGUACCAUUUUAUUAGUGUGUUUCUGACCAUCUCUUCUGGCGUUUCCUGGAGUUUUCUGAGCAUUUGUGAGGCCUGGCUCAAGCUGCUGAGCUCUUCUCCAGAACGCCUCCAUACCUGCCCCGGCUAUCCCAGACUACUGCCUGUUCC
rnacentral:lncRNA from 1 species